UCAGAUGAGACUCAAUAUCCUCUACAAGGGCGUGAGGAUUCCAAGGCGUGUGUUCGAACUACAGCUCAAGUCUAACGAGGACUUACCUGACAACAACCACCAAAAUACGAACGAGAACAGAUGGGUCGAUACAUCUUGGGGGAAAGUCCAUGUGAUGAAAAUUAGGGGAACCAGCACUUAGAAUGUUAUGUUCAGCAGUCUCAAGUUCAAAUCUCAGCUGUUUGUAACAGUAUCUUGACCUUCACCAAUAAAAAUGGAUGUAGGACA
rnacentral:lncRNA from 1 species